rnacentral:rRNA from 1 species
UACGAAGGGGGCUAGCGUUGCUCGGAAUCACUGGGCGUAAAGGGUGCGUAGGCGGGUCUUUUAAGUCAGGGGUGAAAUCCUGGAGCUCAACUCCAGAACUGCCUUUGAUACUGAAGAUCUUGAGUUCGGGAGAGGAGACUGGAAUUUACGGUGUAGCGGUGAAAUGCGUAGAUAUCGUAAGGAAGACCAGUGGCGAAGGCGGGUCUCUGGACAGUUCCUGACGCUGAGGCACGAAGGUCAGGGGGAGCAAACGGG